rnacentral:sRNA from 1 species
GCGGAAUUCUCCACGAGUUUUGAGCAGCCUCGGUUUUCCCACCACCUCCAAAUCAUGCAAGACACAGGACAGAGCCCCCGGCAGCUCCAAAGCCACUGGCAAGCCCCGAGGCAGGGACGGCCGGCCCAGGAGGGAGGAGGACGACGUCCCUCCCGAAGAGAAGAGGCUGCGGCUGUUGCUGGAGGCGGGAAGCGCGCAGCCCCAGGACUGCGAGGACGGCGAGGACGCGCCGCGACCGGGCAGGGAGGAGACCGGCACCCAGACAGGUGGUGACGGCAGAGGACCUCUGCCUCAGUCUCCUCUUCUGGAAAGUGGAAUUGGAAACCACAUCUGCUUCUCUCCCAGAACUGCUAGGAAGACAAGAUUAGAUGGCAGGAGCCAGGUCGGUAUAAGCGCCAGCAGCCUCGCCGCCCGUCAAGUUGUCCACAUCCCUGGCCUCAGCCUGCCACAUCACCCUGACCUGCUUACGCCCAGAUUUUCUUCAAUCACAUCUGAAUAAAUCACUUGAAGAAAGCUUAUAACUUCAUUGCACCAUGUGUGGCAUUUGGGCGCUGUUUGGCAGUGAUGACUGCCUUUCUGUUCAGUGUCUGAGUGCUAUGAAGAUUGCACACAGAGGUCCAGAUGCAUUCCGUUUUGAGAAUGUCAAUGGAUACACCAACUGCUGCUUUGGAUUUCACCGGCUGGCGGUAGUUGACCCGCUGUUUGGAAUGCAGCCAAUCCGAGUGAAGAAAUAUCCGUAUUUGUGGCUCUGUUACAAUGGUGAAAUCUACAACCAUAAGAAGAUGCAACAGCAUUUUGAAUUUGAAUACCAGACCAAAGUGGAUGGUGAGAUAAUCCUUCAUCUUUAUGACAAAGGAGGAAUUGAGCAAACAAUUUGUAUGUUGGAUGGUGUGUUUGCAUUUGUUUUACUGGAUACUGCCAAUAAGAAAGUGUUCCUGGGUAGAGAUACAUAUGGAGUCAGACCUUUGUUUAAAGCAAUGACAGAAGAUGGAUUUUUGGCUGUAUGUUCAGAAGCUAAAGGUCUUGUUACAUUGAAGCACUCCGCGACUCCCUUUUUAAAAGUGGAGCCUUUUCUUCCUGGACACUAUGAAGUUUUGGAUUUAAAGCCAAAUGGCAAAGUUGCAUCCGUGGAAAUGGUUAAAUAUCAUCACUGUCGGGAUGAACCCCUGCAUGCCCUCUAUGACAAUGUGGAGAAACUCUUUCCAGGUUUUGAGAUAGAAACUGUGAAGAACAACCUCAGGAUCCUUUUUAAUAAUGCUGUAAAGAAACGUUUGAUGACAGACAGAAGGAUUGGCUGCCUUUUAUCAGGGGGCUUGGACUCCAGCUUGGUUGCUGCCACUCUGUUGAAGCAGCUGAAAGAAGCCCAAGUACAGUAUCCUCUCCAGACAUUUGCAAUUGGCAUGGAAGACAGCCCCGAUUUACUGGCUGCCAGAAAGGUGGCAGAUCAUAUUGGAAGUGAACAUUAUGAAGUCCUUUUUAACUCUGAGGAAGGCAUUCAGGCUCUGGAUGAAGUCAUAUUUUCCUUGGAAACUUAUGACAUUACAACAGUUCGUGCUUCAGUAGGUAUGUAUUUAAUUUCCAAGUAUAUUCGGAAGAACACAGAUAGCGUGGUGAUCUUCUCUGGAGAAGGAUCAGAUGAACUUACGCAGGGUUACAUAUAUUUUCACAAGGCUCCUUCUCCUGAAAAAGCCGAGGAGGAGAGUGAGAGGCUUCUGAGGGAACUCUAUUUGUUUGAUGUUCUCCGCGCAGAUCGAACUACUGCUGCCCAUGGUCUUGAACUGAGAGUCCCAUUUCUAGAUCAUCGAUUUUCUUCCUAUUACUUGUCUCUGCCACCAGAAAUGAGAAUUCCAAAGAAUGGGAUAGAAAAACAUCUCCUGAGAGAGACGUUUGAGGAUUCCAAUCUGAUACCCAAAGAGAUUCUCUGGCGACCAAAAGAAGCCUUCAGUGAUGGAAUAACUUCAGUUAAGAAUUCCUGGUUUAAGAUUUUACAGGAAUACGUUGAACAUCAGGUUGAUGAUGCAAUGAUGGCAAAUGCAGCCCAGAAAUUUCCCUUCAAUACUCCUAAAACCAAAGAAGGAUAUUACUACCGUCAAGUCUUUGAACGCCAUUACCCAGGCCGGGCUGACUGGCUGAGCCAUUACUGGAUGCCCAAGUGGAUCAAUGCCACUGACCCUUCUGCCCGCACACUGACCCACUACAAGUCAGCUGUCAAAGCUUAGGUGGUCUUUAUGCUGUAAUGUGAAAGCAAAUAUUUCUUCCUGUUGUAUGGGGACUAUGGGUAGAUAGGGGAACAAUGAGAGUCAACUCAGGCUAACUUGGGUGUGAAAAAAAUAAAAGUCCUAAAUCUAAAACAUUGCUGUAGUCAUUUAUGUUCAUACAGUCUCUUCAUAAGAGGUAACUAGAAAUGUUUUGCUGUAUCACAGUAAAGUGGAGGGUAAGCUAGGAAAAGGGAAAAUUAUCAGAUGUCUGCAAGAACUCACAGCCCUCUCCUGGCAGAGCUGCUUUAGAUGACAUUUGCAUCUUGUGCCCGUGUGGCUUCCUUCCAGUCCUUGCCUCAUCUUAGGGACGUCAUCAAAGGACUACACUAUUUUUGUUCUGCCUACAUUCCUAACAGCUGCCUAGGCAGACUCAGACUUGAAUCUUCUGUAGGAGUUCAUCACAGCUCUAUUUUGCAAGAUAGUAGUUCAUUUUUUUCUCUUUUAUGUUGAGCCAAAGCCACUUCUGGAGACUUGUCCUAGAGCAGGGGUCAGGCUUUUAAAAAAUUUUUUAUUUGUUUUUAAUAAAGAGCCA